rnacentral:rRNA from 1 species
UCUGCAACUCGACUACAUGAAGCUGGAAUCGCUAGUAAUCGCGAAUCAGCAUGUCGCGGUGAAUACGUUCCCGGGUCUUGUACACACCGCCCGUCACACCAUGGGAGUCGGAAAUGCCCGAAGCCAGUGACCCAACCAUAAGGAGGGAGCUGUCGAAGGUGGAGCCGGUGACUGGGGUGAAGUCGUAACAAGGUACC